CGCGGAUAACAUGCCCUAAGGUGGAGGAUAAUCUCGGGAAACUGAGAAUAAUACUCCAUAGAUCUAGAAUGCUGGAAUGCUUUUAGGUCGAAAACUCCGGUGCCUUAGGAUUGGUCUGCGGCGUAUCAGGUUGUAGUGGGUGUAACGGACCCACCAGCCGAUGACGCGUAUGGGCCUUGAGAGAGGAAGCCCAGAGAUGGACUCUGAGACAUGAGUCCAGGCCCUACGGGGCGCAGCAGUCGCGAAAACUUCACAAUGGGGGCAACCCCGAUGAGGGAAUUCCAAGUGCUAGCACUUUUUGUGUUAGCUGUUCUUCUGUCUAAAAAACAAGAGAAGUAAGGGCCGGGUAAGACGGGUGCCAGCCGCCGCGGUAAUACCCGCGGCCCGAGUGGUGGUCGAUAUUAUUGAGCCUAAAACGUUCGUAGCCGGUCUUGUAAAUCCUUGGGUAAAUCGGCCAGCUUAACUGUCCGAAGUCCGGGGAGACUGCAAGACUUGGGAUCGGGAGAGGUCAGAGGUACUUCUGGGGUAGGGGUAAAAUCCUGUAAUCCUAGAAGGACCACCGGUGGCGAAGGCGUCUGACUAGAACGAAUUCGACGGUGAGGAACGAAGCCCUGGGGCGCAAACGGGAUUAGAUACCCCGGUAGUCCAGGGUGU
rnacentral:rRNA from 1 species